rnacentral:lncRNA from 1 species
AAUAGCAAAUCUGUCUUUCAACUGACUUGAUGAUCUCUUUUGUUACUUUCACUCCAUAGACGGCUGGACAUCCUUCUUGUACCUUGGCGCUAGCUGGAUGACGGGACCUCAUCAUGAUCAGUGUAUUGCUUGCCUAUGUCUACAAGAACCGUCACGCGUGGCCUGUAACAGCAAGCUUUUGUGGGCAGCCAGUGCUCUCCUACGAAGGCUGGCCUGCUCUGGCAGCGGCGGCAAUCAUCUUCAAGAGUUAUGCAUGAUCGCAUUUAUUUGUCACUCUUGUUAAUUACACUUUCUGUAUCUUUUCUAAUUUAUUAGGUAAUAAAGUAUGAGUAUGUGA